UCUUCCCGUUCUUUUCUAAAUUCUUACCCAUGAUAGUUGAUACAUUGAUGAGACAAAUUAAGACAAAGUCUACUCAUCUUGCCAUAUAUACAAAAGAGUCUGAGUAUUGAUACGAUUCAUCUCAUUCUUCUUUGUAGUACAAUACUUAACUUCAAUAUUUUUUUUUCCGAGGUUCUUGGUGUGAAAUUGGGUUCCGUGACUCAGAGAUCAGAUUUUCAUCUUUGGCAUUUUGAGGUAACUAGCUAUCAGCUGUGAUCUGAAGAUUAUUGACACACUCAACCAGAAGAAAUUAGCAGAGAAAAAACCAAGACAAAUGUUUAGUUUUACACCUGUUGUCAAUGGAGGCACCGCGUGAAACCCUGGGAGAAACUAGAGUUUGUAAAUCCAAGAAAAAAAUCAGUGUUUGUGACCUUCAUCUCUUAGACUUCAAGACGCGUUUAAAAUACAGUCUUCGUUACUAUCCAUAUCUCAUUUUGGAGGAGUUUCAGAUGUCUGAUAACCCGGAGAUAUACUUGGAGGAGAUGCGCAAGCAUAAUCAAUGGAAACUUGCUCGCCAGAUAAAGAAAAGAACCGCGUUGAGGUUGGGUGUGGAUCGGUCUGGCGCAUCAGAUUCUCCUGACAAAAAGGUUGCUGCUAUCUGAUACCCCUUAGAUUGGGAGCGAGACUUAGGUUGAUUGGGCGGGUUAGAAGUCAGACCCGAGCUAGGAAUCAUGUGCCCAGAUUAUCCAUCGAACCCGUGGAACCCAUGGAGGUACUACCCAAGUCCCCCCAAGUUAUGUUCCUCGGGUUUUUCGGGUUGGACCAAGUUUCGCUAAACAUACGAUUUUGUUAAUACGACAAUAACAAAUUUAAGUAAUACUCCCUCCGUCUCAAAUUAACAGCCCUAAUUGACUUUGUCAAAAUAUUAAGGAAAUCCUAUAAAAUGUCGUGACUAACCCUUGACUAGCCCUAUUUAAUGUAAUGUUGUUACCAAAACUAAAAGUAAUAAUAUUAAAACUUAUAAAUUGGAUAAUAUUAUUAUUUUAGGAAAUAUUUUAAGAAAAUAAAAACAAACUUAUACUGUUUUUAUUAUGGAGUCCGUAAUCAGAGCGGGAUGUAAGAAUAAGUAAAAGUUUUAUUAGGAAUUUUAUAACUAUCCAUAAAUGUUUUUAUUCAAAAAAGGAAUGACACUUAAUACAAAGAUAUUGAGUAGAUUUUUUCUUUAUAUAUGGUGAUAAUAUUUAAGAUUU